CCUACGGGAGGCAGCAGUGGGGAAUAUUGCACAAUGGGGGAAACCCUGAUGCAGCGACGCCGCGUGGGUGACGAAGUAUUUCGGUAUGUAAAGCCCUAUCAGCAGGGAAGAAGAUGACAGUACCUGACUAAGAAGCCCCGGCUAACUACGUGCCAGCAGCCGCGGUAAUACGUAGGGGGCAAGCGUUAUCCGGAAUCACUGGGUGGAAAGGGAGCGUAGACGGCUGUGCAAGCCUGAAGUGAAAGGCGGGGGCCCAACCCCUGGACUGCUUUGGGAACUGUACGGCUGGAGUGCAGGAGAGGUAAGUGGAAUUCCUAGUGUAGCGGUGAAAUGCGUAGAUAUUAGGAGGAACACCAGUGGCGAAGGCGGCCUGCUGGACUGCAACUGACGUUGAGGCCCGAAAGCGUGGGGAGCAAACAGGAUUAGAUACCCGGGUAGUC
rnacentral:rRNA from 1 species